rnacentral:rRNA from 1 species
AGAGUUUGAUCCUGGCUCAGGACGAACGCUGGCGGCGUGCCUAAUACAUGCAAGUCGAGCGAAUUGAUUAAGAAGCUUGCUUCUUAAGAUUUUAGCGGCGGACGGGUGAGUAACACGUGGGCAACCUGCCCUAUAGUUGGGGAUAACUCCGGGAAACCGGGGCUAAUACCGAAUGAUACAAUUAAGCUCCUGCUUGAUUGUUGAAAGAUGGUUUACGCUAUCGCUAUAGGAUGGGCCCGCGGCGCAUUAGCUAGUUGGUGAGGUAACGGCUCACCAAGGCGACGAUGCGUAGCCGACCUGAGAGGGUGAUCGGCCACACUGGGACUGAGACACGGCCCAGACUCCUACGGGAGGCAGCAGUAGGGAAUCUUCCACAAUGGGCGAAAGCCUGAUGGAGCAACGCCGCGUGAGUGAAGAAGGUUUUCGGAUCGUAAAACUCUGUUGUAAGGGAAGAACAAGUACAGUAGUAACUGGCUGUACCUUGACGGUACCUUAUUAGAAAGCCACGGCUAACUACGUGCCAGCAGCCGCGGUAAUACGUAGGUGGCAAGCGUUGUCCGGAUUUAUUGGGCGUAAAGCGCGCGCAGGUGGUUUCUUAAGUCUGAUGUGAAAGCCCACGGCUCUACCGUGGAGGGUCAUUGGAAACUGGGAGACUUGAGUGCAGAAGAGGAAAGUGGAAUUCCAAGUGUAGCGGUGAAAUGCGUAGAGAUUUGGAGGAACACCAGUGGCGAAGGCGACUUUCUGGUCUGUAACUGACACUGAGGCGCGAAAGCGUGGGGAGCAAACAGGAUUAGAUACCCUGGUAGUCCACGCCGUAAACGAUGAGUGCUAAGUGUUAGAGGGUUUCCGCCCUUUAGUGCUGCAGCAAACGCAUUAAGCACUCCGCCUGGGGAGUACGGCCGCAAGGCUGAAACUCAAAGGAAUUGACGGGGGCCCGCACAAGCGGUGGAGCAUGUGGUUUAAUUCGAUGAUACGCGAGGAACCUUACCCGGGCUCAAACGACAGGGGACGACAUCUGAAAGGGUGUUUCCGGCAACGGCCGCUGUCGAGGUGCUGCAUGGUUGUCGUCAGCUCGUGCCGUGAGGUGUCGGCUUAAGUGCCAUAACGAGCGCAACCCCCAUCUUCAGUUGCCAUCGGGUGAAGCCGGGCACUCUGGAGAGACUGCCAGCGCAAGCUGUGAGGAAGGCGGGGAUGACGUCAAAUCAGCACGGCCCUUACGUCCGGGGCGACACACGUGUUACAAUGGCGGAGAACAGAGGGAAGCCAGGUGGCGACACCGAGCCGAUCCCGAAAAUCCGUCUCAGUUCGGAUCGGAGUCUGCAACCCGACUCCGUGAAGCUGGAUUCGCUAGUAAUCGCGCAUCAGCCAUGGCGCGGUGAAUACGUUCCCGGGCCUUGCACACACCGCCCGUCA